UUUUUUUUUUUAAGAUCCCGUUUUAUUUUUCAAGAUAAAGUCAUGACAGCCCAUGUGGGAUUUUUUUGGUCAGUCUUCUGAAGCAUUCCUUUAUUCAGUAUCCAGUCAGUGCACAUUUACUGAGUUUGCUGUUCAUGCUCAAUAAAUGUGGUUUUCUGCUUUUAGUGGCUGGUCCUGCCAUCACGGGACCCCACAGGUGGAAUGGGUCGUCAUGGCCACAGAUAUCUCACAGGGAAAGUACCUUCCUCAGUUUUCCACCUUUUUUUUUAAACAUUUUUAGAACUAUUUAUAGUUUAUUAAUGAACUCAGAGCUGUCAACACCCCAAAUCUCAUUUGCUCAGACACCUAAACUGUGUGGAUUUUACUCUCACUGGGAUCUCCCCACAAGCAGUUCUCCACUUCUUAAGGGAAGAGACCAUGUGGGGAGUGGGUCUAGGAUUGUCUGGAAGAGCGACUGUGCAGGAGUGACUGGGUUCAGUGCUGCAUGUGGCCAGAUCUUCGUGCUGGCAGUGAGCUCUCCCCUUUUUUUCUCCUGGCUUUUGGACUUUGGUCUUUGCUAGAGAAGCUCUGAUGGCUUUGGCUUUGAGUAGAGCUUUUGGGCAAGGUGUUCCUCACUCCUUCCCGGUAGGGUUUCUGAGGCCACAUGAAAACAUCCUUCCCUUCUCCCAUCUUCUUGGCUGGUCUCUGGGAAGGAGGGAGGCCACUUGCAAGAGGAAGGAGUGGGCGUAACUCUCUCCAGGACAAGAACUGACCCUACUCACUGCCUGGUCUCUUAGGCCCUUAUCUCCUUUCAUGUUAGACCAGCAGAAGUGGGAAAGAAUGUAUUUCAUAAUAGACAGGAUUAAUCUGAUAAUUCCUUUAAAACUUUAAACUUCAUCUUUGGACAAGAAAAUAGAGAGCUGUGUGGGUGUUACAUGGUGAGGAGACUGUAAACCUUUUACUCUGCCUCAUGGGCUGAUCUUCAAAAAGCCCGUCAUCCAUUUUCACUUACUAGUAUGUGGAGCUCUCAAUUAAAAAUUUUUAAAGAGAAAGAUGGAAUGAAAUACCAUGUUGGUUUUUUAUGUAUGAAAUUCUAUGAUCGAAGAGUGAAAACUGUCAACUUAAAGAUGUUCCAGAAAAAGAAAUAGAAAUCUGAGGAGGCUGGUGUCUGUUUUGGCUGUCGUAUGGAUUCACUGGAUUGCCACUUUAAAUUUAAACUUCUUUUCUCGGUGAGAUAGUUACAACAUGCAGUCCUGAGUAUGAGGGGGAGAUAAACAAUGAGAGUGGGGUUUGGAAGGGGGAUGGAGAGGAUUAUGUUAACUCCCACUGAUUUCUCACAGCAGCCUGUAUUUAGUGCAUACAAAUAUCAAUUAUUAAGUGGUAAACAACAAUUUAAAAAAUGAACAGAUUAAGAGGAAUUAAUUAAACUGAUGUCUGCCUUUCCAUUCCUACAAUGCCAGUGCCUGUAGUCAGCCUCAACCUUUAUGACGUCGGCUCUGCCACCAGGCAGGUCCAGCGGCAGCCAGUGGGAGGGGCUACUGGCUACACCUUGUUACAAGAACCCAUCAACACCACAGAACUGACCAAACCCAAAGAGUUUGUCCAUCUGCAGGUGCGUGUGGGGCCGACAGUGAGUGGCGUGCAGAUGAGGGAGCUCUUUCCCAACACUGGAUAUGCAGUCAUGGUCCAGGACAUCCUGUGUGACCUCCCCAGCGAACCUGUCACCACAAGGGAGGGCACCUCAUACAGGUGGCUUUUCUUGAAAAGUGGCAGUGAUUGCACGUAGGACCCUUGCCUGGCCUGGUUUUGUUUCUUACUGAGGUUGGCAUGCUGGGAUGGAUUACACGGCUUAAAUGUUGAGAGUCUCAGCUCACACUUCUAAGGAAAUUAAGAUGUUGGAAAGAACCCUCAAGAGGGGAAGGGGAUGAGACAGAAGCAUGAUGAGACAGAAAAGAGGCACCCGCAAAGUACGACAGGAGACAUUCAUCAACAGCAAGUAAUCAUCUUGUGUAUGUUGGGUCCUGUCAGAAGCUGGUGGUUGGUGGGAAUGGAGUGGUGGCAGAUGGGAAGGGUGGGGAGCCAGCCAGGGGUGGUGACGUGUGCUGGGAGAAAAGUCCCAAGGGUCACGGUGGGAGGAGCGAUGAGUGAGGUUCUAGGUUGGGAUGUGGGGCUAGACUGCAGCAGCAGAGGACUGGAGGGCACGGAGAUGAGAACAUUGAAGGGAUGGAGGUGCAGAAACAUGGAGGUGGAGACAGAUUCAGGAAGAGAGACGGAGAGAGCUGAAAGGAGAGGCAAAGGAAAUUGGUAGACAGGCAGCUAGAAUGAGUGAGAUAUGUCUCAGAGCAAAAGAAAUUCUCCCAGAGGUGCAAAUUUCAAACUCCCAGUGGAAAUGUUAGGUCUCUUGAUUGUGGAGAUGGCUUCAUAGGUGCCCACACCUGUCAAAAUUCAUCAAAUUGUGCAUCAAAAGUAUGUGAGCUUACUGUACAGAAAUUAUACCACAAUAAAAUUGUUUAAAAAAUUAAAAAUAAAAUAACUCUUGAAAAAAAAAUUUCUUCAUUAGUUAUACUCCUCAAUCUUUUGAAGGUAAAGCUUUGUUUGACUUGGUGAAAAUUUAUCACUGAGACUUUCUUCUAACCGUUUUGGCUUCUGUGCUGAAUUUCAGCUCAUCUUCAUUCUUCACUCUUGGAACCAUCUGUUUUUCUUAUCAUAGUCUUAGGGGAGCGUAUUGCUGAUUUUGAUUUCUCUCUUAACUGCUUUAACUCUGAUAAACGUGAGCUACCCACUUACAGUGAAUUUUGCUUUAUUAUAGCUGAGCGGUAAGUAAGAACUUCCUUAAAUAGAGUAGAAGAAAUUUAACAUAGAGAAGUUAGAGUUGUAAUAAAAAUUUAAAUUUAUCCUAAUUUUAAAAAACCUUCUUAAGAAGAAUUCAUCUGUACCUGGUAGAAUCAUGGUACUUAUGUCAUCAUAACCAGUUUGUUACUCUGCUGCACACCUCGAAGUCUUCUCCAAACAACCUGUUGAAAGCUUGUGUGGAUGCUUUAGAGCUUUGUUUUGUGGUUGAGAACCGCAUCUGGACCUAAUUUGUCCUGCAUCUCCAGGGCCUUUGCCCAGUCCUUGAUACCUGAAUCCGAGAUGUGACUCACAGCACCAGGAAUGUCUUGUGGGAACCUGCCCUUGGAAAAGUGCAUAAAUAUAUUGUCUGCUACAAAAGACCAGAAGACGAUGUCAGAGAGGUGGAAGUGGACAGGUCAUGGGCUAACACGCCUCUUAAAGACCUCUUCUCACAGACCGUGUGCACGGUCGGCAUUUCUGCAGGGUGUGACAAGGGGGCUCCUCCAAGGACUGCUGAGGAAAAGCACCUGUGAGCUGUGGCUGUGCUUUAUUGAUCAUCGGGAAACAGCACCGUGUGCUCGUGUCACCAAACCUCCUUGGUUACUUCAUUUCUUGUUAUUUUUUGCCCGGGUUUAAUAAUGGUUGGGUUUCUAAACUGUUUUUUGCUUAUUUUCUUCUCAUCUUCUCUCUUUGUCCAUUCCUUUUAUGAUAAUUUCUCUCCUAUUAUUCUACCUGCCACAGUCACUGAUUCAUCUCCCAGAUACUUGACUGCUCUGUGUGUGUGCGUGUGUGUGUGUAGAGGGUGGGGAGACAGCGCUUUCUUGAUGAAUGUUGGACAUUGUCUCUAGAAACCAUGCAUUAGUUAGCAGAGUUUUGGAGAUCUUCCUAUACAUAAAGUGUUGUCAGGGUUGAGAAAAUCUAAGCGUCUUUGCCCUCAGUAGUUCGUGAUUUUGUUGCAGAGAUAAAAGGUAACAAUACCUGAGAUUAUGUAAGGAAGGUGAACUGUGUGGCUCUCAGAGGGAGGGCAGACUUCUGUAGUGGAAAGGUGAGGGAGAUGCUGGGCCCCUGCCUGGGCCCUGCCUUCCCUGCUCCACUCUGAGGCCACUUCGAGGAAGGGAUGUCCCUUUCUCCCUCUCAUGGUGCUUGCAUAGUAUUUAACCCAGUUAUCGUUGCCUGUUCUUUUUCUAUCUAUUCGACUUUUCCCUCCUAAGGAAGGCAGAGACAUGUCUAUUUUGCUCAAUUUGUGUCUCCAGUUUCUGGCUAGUGCUCAGCACGAUUCUCUAAUUCAAUAGUGGUUAAGAAAUUGAGUCUGGAACCAGUUAGUUCCCAAGAAAUAGGGGGCCACAGAGGUAACUCAGAAUUUUCUAGUAGCCAAUUAGAAAACGUAAAGAGAAAAAUGUAAUGAAUUUUAAUAAUGUGUCAUUGUAUUCUGUAUAUCAGCAUUUCAGCAUUUGUCAGUAUCAUAAUUAUUAAUGAGAUAUUUCAUGUCUUUUUGGUAAUAAUGUUUUUUGCAAUCCAGUGUGUAUUAAUUUACACCUACGGCACAUCUUAAUCCAGGUACCACAUUUCAAGUACUCAAUGGCUACGUGUGGCUGGUGGCUCCCAUGGUGGACAGCACGGGUCUAGAGAAUUUAAGUGACUUGCCCAGCCUCGCCCAGGAAGCUCAUGGUAGGAUCCGUGCUAUAGUCUGGAACUUUUCCUUCCUAUCCAGCAACUCCUUCAUGGAGGCUUAGAAGCUUUUCCUUUGGUGCCCAGCUGUCUAUCCAUGCUUAAGACAUCUUGUCAGUUCUCUCAGUCUACUCCUGAACAUCCAACAGUACCCGCUUCUGCUCUUUUCUGACCAGGUUAACACCUCUUAGCAACUUCUGUUGCCUUCUUGGCAUCGGUUCUUACCUGGAAUGGUAUUGGCUAGAGGUGGAAAUGUGUCCACAUGAGCAGACUGACAGAUUUUUCAUAAACAUAACAGGAGUGGUCAAGAGAAGACAAAGUCAGGAAGACGUACCAGUGGAAGCAGGUCAUCUAAUACACCAAAUGGAUGCUUUGAAUGUAUGUUUGUAAUCCUUAAGAUUUCCUAAGAACGUUUAGAUAUAUCCGAAGUGCAUUCUAACGGUUGGUUUGUUUUGCAGUUGUGCUUGUGAAAGUGGUACCAGUCUCUUGAUCUCAGUGGGCCUUUUCAUUGUAAUGAUUAGAAACAAAUUUUUUGAUGGCUCUGGGUUUUGUGUAUUUGGCUUUGGUUAUCAGGAGGUAGAGAAAUAAUUGACAAUGGAAGCUCCGAACUGGUGGCAGACAUUCCAGAUGGCUUGAGCUGCAAACUAACUAGACUGCUGGUCAGUAGCAGUGCUCUUAAUUGGGAUUUCAGGGCUAUUCCUGUCUCCGGAUAGAGUCAGCGCAGUCAGCUGCACGUUGUGUUUAAGGGACUCUGCCAGCCCCAACAAACCUGCAGAUACCCAAGUAACACCAGAGAGUUCCAGAGGGACUUGGGAUCACGGAGCUUCUGACGUGUCUCUCUACAGAAUCCCCUGGGCCCCUUCUGGAAGCUCAGAUAAAAUGGAGGACCAUACAGUGGACUGAGGAAUCGGAGUGUCUUUGGGGAGACAACCAGCAGCCUCUCUCCAUAGCCUGGCAUCAUGCUGAUGGGCCAGUUCAGCAAUAGAGGAUCAUUUUUUCUCCCACCGUUGGUGACCCAGUCGAUGAAAAC